CGCUGCCUUGGACAAAACGCUGCUGGUAUUGGCUGGGCGGCUUUAAUUACCACCUCCUUCAGAGAGUCUGCGUUCCUGUCCCAGUCCCCUGAAGCUGGGAUGGCGUACCACUGCCGCCGGGUAAUACUGCACAUACACUACAUGGACGGCGGCGCCCCCCCUAUGCCGAGUCUCCACAGCGCCCAGGGCAUAUGCCCCACUCACUCUGCACUAGUUACGCCUCUGGCCGCCACCCCAUAACAGAACCAGAAGAAGAAGUGUGCACGGACCGUGUCCACCGCGCCACGAUGCCCUGUGAGUCCCUUUAUCCCCGUGACAACCGUCGGGCUGGACGGUAUACACACGGAUGGUUACCAUGGGAACCAGAGCGUCUGAUGACGCGAUGCCGGAUCACGUGACCGGAGCUGAUGCACCACGCUUUCACGUUUACAAGCAGGGAAGGAAAUGUAUGCCUGUCCCCGGAAACGCUGCUGCACCUCCCGCUGGCGGGACCUCCUCACCUCCUUCAUGUAUAAAGGUACUCACUCUGUGUUACCACUUCACUUUUGUUGUGUUCACCUUGACAAAGGGGUGGUUGCACCCCGAAACGUUGGAUUGUCUUUGUACCACUAUGGAAUAAACACUUUUGCUUGGAAA